rnacentral:lncRNA from 1 species
UGCAAAUCCGAUUUGCUCUCCUGAAGGCUGUGGCCCAGGCUCCCCUUCUACAACAGCAAACCAUUCUGUUUCCAGAGGUAAUGGAAUUAAAAGGUGUGGUUUUCCCCUCACUGGCUGUGUUACUGCCUCUCUGGGCUGUGUGCUGAGCAGUGCUGUGAAUAAUAGAAGUCUAUUUUUGUAACGUUCUGGGAUUGUAGGCUGAACUAACUUCUAGAGUGAAUGUUAGGAGAAAACACAGCAAAUGAUCAAUUUUUCUUUUUCCCUUUAGGGAACAAAAUAUUCAGAUUUUGAAUAAGAAUCCAGUUUAUGAAAGAUGCUGCUGUGUAGUAGCAAACCACUGGCCUCAGAGGUUGGAUCUUCACUUUGUCAUUUGCUACCUGAAUAACCUGGGCCAACUCACUGAACUCCCCACAAUGCAGGGUCCCAGUCUAUGUACUAAUGGGGAUGACAAUAUCUCCUUCAGCAAAAAUGGAUUAGACGUAGGCCUCUUGUUACCGACAUCACCAGAGCAUUUUCCUCCCUUCAUGUGAUCUUGUAACCUCUAUGUUGGUCCUUUGGACACGAAAAAGACCUUCUGUGUUGAGCCAAGAGCAGGUCCCUCACAAGGCCAAGGGAGGAGUGCUUUGCUGUUGCCAGGAGCGUC